AGAACAAGUACAAGAGUAACUGCUUGUACCUUGACGGUACCUAACCAGAAAGCCACGGCUAACUACGUGCCAGCAGCCGCGGUAAUACGUAGGUGGCAAGCGUUAUCCGGAAUUAUUGGGCGUAAAGCGCGCGCAGGCGGUUUCUUAAGUCUGAUGUGAAAGCCCACGGCUCAACCGUGGAGGGUCAUUGGAAACUGGGGAACUUGAGUGCAGAAGAGAAAAGCGGAAUUCCACGUGUAGCGGUGAAAUGCGUAGAGAUGUGGAGGAACACCAGUGGCGAAGGCGGCUUUUUGGUCUGUAACUGACGCUGAGGCGCGAAAGCGUGGGGAGCAAACAGGAUUAGAUACCCUGGUAGUCCACGCCGUAAACGAUGAGUGCUAAGUGUUAGAGGG
rnacentral:rRNA from 1 species